UCCGAGUUGACCCCGGCAGUCUCCCAUGAGUCCCCGGCAUUACUCGCUGGCAACGUAGGACAGGGGUUGCGCUCGUUGCGGGACUUAACCCAACAUCUCACGACACGAGCAGACGACAGCCAUGCACCACCUGUGAUGGUGUCCCGAAGGAAAACCGUGUUUCCACGGCGGUCACCAACAUGUCAAGCCCAGGUAAGGUUCUUCGCGUUGCGUCGAAUUAAACCACAUGCUCCGCUGCUUGUGCGGGCCCCCGUCAAUUCCUUUGAGUUUCAUUCUUGCGAACGUACUUCCCAGGUGGAUUACUUAAUGCUUUCGCUUGGACGCUGAUCAGUGUAUCGCCAACGUCGAGUAAUCAUCGUUUACGGCGUGGACUAC
rnacentral:misc_RNA from 1 species